UACGGAGGGUGCAAACGUUGCUCGGAAUCAUUGGGCGUAAAGGGCGCGUAGGCGGUCAGCACAAGUCAGUUGUGAAAUCUCCGGGCUUAACUCGGAAAGGUCAACUGAUACUGUGCGACUAGAGUGCGGAAGGGGCAACUGGAAUUCUCGGUGUAGCGGUGAAAUGCGUAGAUAUCGAGAGGAACACCUGCGGCGAAGGCGGGUUGCUGGGCCGACACUGACGCUUGGAUGCGCGAAAAGCCCAGGGGAGCGAACAGG
rnacentral:rRNA from 1 species